rnacentral:rRNA from 1 species
UACGUAGGUGGCGAGCGUUGUCCGGAUUUAUUGGGCGUAAAGGGCGCGCAGGUGGUGUGGUGGGUCCGUCGUGAAAUCUCCUGGCUCAACUGGGAGGGUGCGGCGGAGACUGCCAGACUGGAGGCACUCAGAGGCCGGUGGAAUUCCCGGUGUAGUGGUGAAAUGCGUAGAGAUCGGGAGGAACACCAGUGGCGAAGGCGGCCGGCUGGGGGUGACCUGACGCUGAGGCGCGAAAGCGUGGGGAGCGAACAGG